UUUUUCUUUCAAGGAGGCAGCUCCCAUUGCACUAUUUUCCUAGCAAAAGAAGUUAUGAUCUUCAGGAAAAGACUUCUUUCAGGGGAGUAAUGGAACCAACGUUUACAGCUGCAGCGCUGGAGGCAGGACCUGUGUAUUUCUUUGACCAGAUGAAAACUAGAAUGAAAGAGAGGGGCAAGAAGAUACCAGAAGAACUGUCCUCAUAUCUCACUACAGACCUUUGCCUUGGCUUUACUCCCAGGUAACAGUGUGACACCAGUGGUGGUGGGAGCAGGGAAGUUUCUGUCAACUAGUUUUUCAGGGAAGACACAAAAAGGAGUCCCAAGGUAGAUGUGGCCAAGGCAGAACGAGAGAGAUGGGGGAGGCACAUGACCAGAACUGGCACCCUGCCACACAGCGUGAGCCA